UACAGAGGGUGCUAGCGUUGUUCGGAAUCAUUGGGCGUAAAGAGCUCGUAGGCGGUUUGUCGCGUCUGCUGUGAAAACUCGGGGCUUAACUCCGGGCCUGCAGUGGGUACGGGCAGACUAGAGUGCGGUAGGGGAGACUGGAAUUCCUGGUGUAGCGGUGAAAUGCGCAGAUAUCAGGAGGAACACCGGUGGCGAAGGCGGGUCUCUGGGCCGUAACUGACGCUGAGGAGCGAAAGCGUGGGGAGCGAACAGG
rnacentral:rRNA from 1 species